AACAGCCUCCAACUUAUUCCCAUGAAGGCAUCAAAUCACGUUAAAUAUUGGAAGCUAAGCAGAUUUGAGCAUGGUUAGUAGUUUGAACGGAGACCACCAUGGAGAACUGAGUGUUUGUUU
rnacentral:rRNA from 1 species